GGUCAAGUUAUGAAGGGCACAUGGUGGAUGCCUAGGCACAGAGCAGCGAAGAAGGACGUGGCAAGCUGCGAUAAGCCACGGGGAGGUGCAAGCGACCGUAGAUCCGUGGAUUUCCGAAUGGGGCAACCCGGUCCCGUUCAUACGGGAUCACCCCGCACCUACUUUAGCCUUAUAGAGAAAGCGGAAGAGCGAGUACCGUGAGGCUAAAGUAGGUGCGGGGAGCGAACCCGGGGAACUGAAACAUCUCAGUACCCGGAGGAAAAGAAAGAGAGAGUCGAUUCCCUCAGUAGCGGCGAGCGAAGGGGGAGUAGCCUAAACCCGAUGCAUGUAGAAGGCCGCAGCCGUUGUGCAUUGGGGGUAGAGGGACGUUGACGGGACGCACUGCGGGGCGUCCGGGGAGUGAUCAACUAACAGGGUAGCCGAAUCGUCCUGGAAAGGCGAGCCACAGAGGGUGAAGGCCCCGUAGGCGAAACCUUGUUAGCUCCCUGGUCAACGCUCCCGAGUACUGCGGGGCACGAGGAAUCCCGUAGGAAUCGGUGCCGACCACGGCAUAAGGCUAAAUAUGGCUCUGUGACCGAUAGUGGACCAGUACCGUGAGGGAAAGGUGAAAAGCACCCCUGGCGGGGAGUGAAAUAGUACCUGAAACCAUGUGCCUACAAUCAGUCGGAGCCCCGCACCUACUUUGACCUUAUGGAGAUAUUGAACUGAGAGUCUCGUGAGGUCAAAGUAGGUGCGGGGUGACGGCGUGCCUUUUGCAUAAUGAGCCAGCGAGUUGUGGUAGGCAGCGCAGGUUAAGUCCCUCAGGGACGGAGCCGUAGCGAAAGCGAGUCUGAACAGGGCGUCCCAGUUGCCUGCUGCAGACGCGAAGCCGGGUGAUCUACCCAUGGCCAGGAUGAAGCCCCGGUAAAACGGGGUGGAGGUCCGAACCCACUGGUGUUGAAAAACCAGGGGAUGAGCUGUGGGUAGGGGUGAAAGGCCAAUCAAACCCGGAGAUAGCUCGUUCUCCCCGAAAUAUAUUUAGGUAUAGCCUCGGGU
rnacentral:rRNA from 1 species